CCCAGAGAUAGUUCCACGGCUGCUGUCUUCUUUUCCAAACCGGUCAUCUGAAUAUGAUAAAUGUGAGUUUUACAGCUAAGAUUAGAUAUGCCUUCAGCCCGAGCUCUACAAAGCAGGGUGGUUUUGAACUGGAAUAUCAAGCAAGUGAAAGCAAGUCUUGGCUGUGCCACCUGAGAAGUGACAGUCUCUGCGGGGGAGUGCAGGGGCUCCCUUUGAGCAGAAAACCCUGCUGCGUUUACAGAGCCUGCCCUAGGUGAACAAAGGCAAGCCUGUGUUUUAAGAGGAGAUGAGAACUUGCCCUUGAAGCCUCAGACAGCUUCCAGACUUGGACAGGUGCCAGCGGGGAGCAUGAGCUCCUUUUUUGCUGAUUGUCUGGUGAUUUUCAUACAAGAUGAAAUUUACUUCGGGGGAUGGUGUUUCAAGAUGGUGCUGUGUAUUGGUGGAGAAGAGAGCAGUGCCUGGCCCAGAUGUCCGAGACCGGGCAAGGCAGCUCCCUUCCCGCACCGGCUUCUCCGUGGUCUCCGGGCUCCGCUCUGCACUGGCUCUCCCGUUGCUGCUCCAGGUCCUGGACGUUUUGGCUUCUGAGAGAUGGUCUGUGCUUGCUGCCUUCUCCCAGCCCGGCUGCCUCCCUGGCCCCGUUGCCAGCCAAUGUCAUUUCUCCUUUGUCCAUAACUUGAGCCAAUAGAAUAUCUUCUCGAAUGGUCUGCCUCUCCCACAAUCCUGUUGUAACAACUGCUGUCUUAUCAGGUGAGGCAAGACCUGCACAAGUGUGCUUGCUCCUCACGGCCACCGCUGGUUCAGUGCCAGGACCCCCGAGUAUCAGAUGAGGAAGCUUCGUCCAGUUGAUCCAGAGAAGAGGAUGCCCCAAUACUCCUCUCAUAGGUCACUACACAUUUGAUUUACAGCCUUUUUCUCAAUGUAUAGUUACAGAUCUGGGUAUGUGUGUUUUUUAAUGUACAAAUGACUCUUUAAUGUCAUACACAUCCACAUUCUCUCACACACAGACUCACACAUAUACGUAUGCUCGCAUACACAACUUUACACUCAUGCCAAGGCGUGCGUAUACCACACAUGCACACACACGCACACAUACACUUGCACAAAUAUGAGUCUGAAAGGUUGUUUAUUGUGCUUUCUGAGGCUCCCUAAGACCCUUAGAAUUAGGUUCAAAUUUCUUGGUCUGGCAUUUGGGAUCCGCUGGAAUCCCAAUGUCUUUCCAGUCUUUUCUAUUCCCACACCUCUCUCACCUCCAUUAGGAAUCCAGUGGGUGACAGCCAGGACUAUGCUGGUUGGCAGGGAGGCUGUGAGGUAGAAAGCUGAUGCUGGGAUUCCUGUGUCUUUUUUAUCUAUACCAUUGAGGCCUUCUAUUGGUAUCCAUUCCUAUCUAAGGAACAAACUCCCAUUAGGACCCUUCCUACUUUACUCAAGCUCUUUUGUCUACCCUGAUCCUCUCCCAACUACUUUUUUGAAAUCUGACCUUCAUCAGUACACUUUAUGUAUCCAUCUGCAUUCCCUACACCCUGGGCAAUGACCUUCUCAACCCAGGUCUCUAUAUUCCUUCCUCGUGCCACAUACCAGCCUUGUGUUAAAGUUACCUGGCUUACUUUUCUCAUCUUGUCUUCAAACCUGGAGACUUGGUUGGUGAAGUGUUGAAUUUGCCAGUAUCAUUUCAAAGAGUUUAGCAAGAUAUCUUGCACAAAUCAGGUGCUCUAAAAACUCAUGUAUAAGGUAUAAAAGUCGGCAUAUUUUUUGGUCAGUAAAUUCUUCCACAGUCAUUUAGUUCAAUUUAUAACAUUGUGUAUUGAAAUUAUUUAAGGCAACCUUUUAGGUGUAAGUAUUAUUCGAUGAGGAUAAAACACUAAACCAGAAUCAUGGGGGGCCCUUCUGUGGGCUGGUCCCAGGGGAACAAGAUCUUGGGCCAAAGGGAUGUGCAAGGUGUCAGGGAAGAGCCAUUUUACAGGAUCAUAGUUUUUGGUGGGAUGCAUGAAGAGGCAUCUAGAGCAUAAAAUAAAGUGAGAAUGUUCUAGAAAAAGGAAUGCCUA
rnacentral:lncRNA from 12 species